rnacentral:sRNA from 1 species
AUAGCAUAACCGAAGUGUGCCU